CCUGUGGAGCCCAAAGCACGUCCCUUAUCCAUUUUACACAAGAGUGUGUCAAUGUUCCAAAGGAUUCCCAGUGUUCCAGAGCCGUCUCAGCGCUGACUAUUCCUGGGAAAAGCUCUCCCAGGGACUCCGGGACGAGUCACACUCUGAACAUGAGGAACAUUUUGAGGUUUCUUUUCUUUUUCAGACAGUUCUUGGGAGCCUGAAGAGCGACUGCAAGGAUCACACUACACCACUGCAGAAAAUGCAGGGCAAACAGCCCAUGUGCAGCUGUAAAUGCAGGGAUGUGUGAGUGGAAGAGCUGGAUCCUGCUUUGGGGUGAAGGUUCAGUGCUGACCCCACAACCCUGAGCCUCCGGGCCAGCAAACUUCUCCAAGGACUCGGGGAAGGAGCUGCAAGCGAGACCUAAACUCUGUGUGGGGCUAAGCCUGGAACAAAGCACGCCCUCAGCACAUCUGAGCUGACUCCUCCAGUACUUUUCCACUUAAUGGGUGCAGGCACAUCACUCUUGGAAGCCAAUGUUCCAUCUGAUCCCCAGUGAUUUCCAGCUGAGAAACUACAUUAAAAACUGGCAUUUAUAGUCAUAUGUAUCCAGUUUAAAAGCACUGAUUAGAUUUU